rnacentral:rRNA from 1 species
CCUACGGGUGGCAGCAGUGAGGAAUAUUGGUCAAUGGGCGCGAGCCUGAACCAGCCAAGUAGCGUGAAGGAUGACUGCCCUACGGGUUGUAAACUUCUUUUAUAAAGGAAUAAAGUGAGGCACGCGUGCCUUUUUGUAUGUACUUUAUGAAUAAGGAUCGGCUACCUCCGUGCCAGCAGCCGCGGUAAUACGGAGGAUCCGUGCGUUAUCCGGAUUUCUUGGGGUUAAAGGGAGCGGAGAUGGGUUGUUAAGUCAGUUGUGAAAGUUUGCGGCUCAACCGUAAAAUUGCAAGUGAUACUGGCAGUCUUGAGUACAGUAGAGGUAGGCGGAAUUCGUGGUGUAGCGGUGAAAUGCUUAGAUAUCACGAAGAACUCCGAUUGCGAAGGCAGCUUACUAAACUGCCACUGACAUUGAUGCUCGAAAGUGUGGGUAUCAAACAGGAGUAGAUACCCUGGUAGUC